AUUCCAUUAAUUAGUUACUUCUGUUUAUUGAAUCUUUGACAUAAUAUUGAGCUAAACAGCCAAUAAUUUUAGUUUUGAACAUACAGUUGAGUAUUAGUUUUUUUGGUUUGGUUCAGCUUAGUUUGAAAUUAAACUAAAUUAAAAGAACUGAAAAAUUUUUAAGGGAAAACUGAACCAAACUGAAUUAUGAAUCAAACCAAAA
rnacentral:misc_RNA from 1 species